rnacentral:sRNA from 1 species
CGUUGCAAAGCCUGCUACUUUGCAACGGGUGAGACCGGCACAGCAGAAACCGGUAGGGCGGGAACG